UACGUAGGUGGCAAGCGUUGUUCGGAAUUACUGGGCGUAAAGGGCGCGUAGGCGGCAUGGCAAGUCAGGAGUGAAAGGCCUGGGCUCAACCGAGGAACUGCUUUUGAUACUGCCAAGCUAGAGUGCGGAAGGGGCAACUGGAAUUCCCAGUGUAGCGGUGAAAUGCGUAGAUAUUGGGAAGAACACCUGAGGCGAAGGUGGGUUGCUGGGCCGACACUGACGCUGAGGCGCGAAAGCCAGGGGAGCAAACGGG
rnacentral:rRNA from 1 species